ACUUGUGAGCGUUGGUUGUGUUGGUCGGUCUCCAAAACCGUACUACGAAGGUUCGAAUCCUUCCACUCGUG
rnacentral:tRNA from 1 species